rnacentral:tRNA from 1 species
GCGUUUGUGGUUUAGUGGUAAAAUCCAUCGUUGCCAUUUAUUCUCCUGGGUGAAUCAGUUUCGAUGGGCCCCGGGUUCGAUUCCCGGCGAACGCA